AUGAACGCUGGCGGCGUGCCUAAUACAUGCAAGUCGAGCGAACGGACGAGAAGCUUGCUUCUCUGAUGUUAGCGGCGGACGGGUGAGUAACACGUGGAUAACCUACCUAUAAGACUGGGAUAACUUCGGGAAACCGGAGCUAAUACCGGAUAAUAUUUUGAACCGCAUGGUUCAAAAGUGAAAGACGGUCUUGCUGUCACUUAUAGAUGGAUCCGCGCUGCAUUAGCUAGUUGGUAAGGUAACGGCUUACCAAGGCAACGAUGCAUAGCCGACCUGAGAGGGUGAUCGACCACACUGGAACUGAGACACGGUCCAGACUCCUACGGGAGGCAGCAGUAGGGAAUCUUCCGCAAUGGGCGAAAGCCUGACGGAGCAACGCCGCGUGAGUGAUGAAGGUCUUCGGAUCGUAAAACUCUGUUAUUAGGGAAGAACAUAUGUGUAAGUAACUGUGCACAUCUUGACGGUACCUAAUCAGAAAACCACGGCUAACUACGUG
rnacentral:rRNA from 1 species